rnacentral:rRNA from 1 species
GACAGAGGCCUCGAGCGUUAGGCGGAAUCACUGGGCUUAAAGCGUGUGUAGGCGGAUCGUUAAGUGCCUUGUGAAAUCCCACGGCUUAACUGUGGAACGGCUGGGCAUACUGGCGGUCUUGAGCCAGCUAGGGGCGACCGGAACAAAUGGUGGAGCGGUGAAAUGCGUAGAUAUCAUUUGGAACGCCAAUGGUGAAAACAGGUCGCUGGGGCUGUGCUGACGCUGAGACACGAAAGCCAGGGGAGCAAACGGG